CUGCAGGCACCGCGCGUGGGGACCAAGUUCCGCUUCCACUUCUCCCCCUUCGGGCUACCUCACUGGUCCAGAAGUCCACCCAAGAAGUUAUUUUCCAAAGGAACUUUUCUUUCAUGCUUGUAUAAUAAAGCACCAUCCGGUUCUCGGGGGCCCCCCCCCCCCCCCCCCCUUUUCCGAUGGAUUAUGUAUGCUUUGUGGUGUUGCACUAGUAUGUGCUCAGGGUAUUUUGAAUCCCAAGCAUUCCCAAGUUUCAGUUUACUCUGAUCAAGGAUGCAUAAAGAAUGGAGGUUCAGGACUUGUGGCUGUUCUUGAUGGUGCAAAAAAAAAAACAAAACAAAACCUUUUUUUAAUUUCAUGGGCUUAGUGAUAUAUAAAGAUGUAUUGCGCAGUAUAAUUGUUACACUUUUGUAUCUAAAGUCAUUUUUAAAGUUUUCUAGUUGAACUAAGUAUUUGUUUCUAUUGAGCACCUAAAGAUAGAAUCAUCCUGAUAUUUUAUAAACCUGUUUACUUUAGGGAAGCUCAUUUGGUCAACCUAAGUGAACUUAAUAAAAAGCAAAGAACAAGUGACGUUUCAGUUCAAUGAAACUGGACUGCACAGGGAUGGGUUCUUUGGUGGAGUUUGCCAUGUAUGCGCCUGGCGAAGGCACCAGGGGUGUCUCCAGAAAACAAAUUUAGGGUUUCUGAAGAAUGUAACCGCUCAUCAAAGCAAUGCAUAGGUGUCUGAGGGUGAGCUGUGAUACAAUUUUGCCAUUAACAGCAAAAAAUGAGUCCUCACAUGUCCCAAAUACCACACCGAAGUGACUAUCUCUGCAGCAAGAGCAAGGCUUCAUGCCUGAUGGCUUCAUAACAAAAUAGCACUGGUUCAACCUGGAGCUGUUGGAUGAUUAGAGAUUGAUAAUCAUAUCCAUGUAAUUACUUGCACAUAAUUAUUUUUAUAAACCUCUCCUGGGUUUCACAGUGGACUGUGAUACAAGAUUCAUAAUGUAGCUGGACUGUUUUGCCUAAAAAACACCAUCUUGUUGUUCUGUCUGGUGGGCAUUCUCUCCUGAAUCUGAUUUUUUAAGGGCUUUCCUUAGGUUUGCCUGGUUGGUGUGUGAAAGGCGGAGGUUUGGGGGACAUUUUUUUUUUUCCCUCUCUCUUUUUUUUCCAAGCUCAGAGAAGAACAAGAAGUGCUUGGUGAGAGAUGGUUUGUGUCCCUAGUAUCCUAGCAAACAAGAAACUUCUCAGUUUCCACAGUGGAAUGAAUGACUUCACAGCUUGUUUAUAGAAUGGUUUGGUGACUUUAAAUUUCUUUUCUGAUUGCUGUUGACUCCUUGUUGCCUGCUCUUCAUGGAUGUAAUAGGACAGCUAGAUGAGCAGAGGGUAUUUGCAAAAAUUUGCUAGUGCUAACCUGAAUCAACCAGCUUCUAAAACCUGUUUAUACUAUGUAGUUCUUACCUAGCAAAGCUGCCAAGUUCUUAUUCUUCCAAGCUAACAAUCUAUUCUAUAACCAUUAGGCUUUUGAAAUCGUUUACAUAACGUUAGACUGCCCGCUGAUUGCUGCAGUAGUGCCACGUCACAUUUCAGAAGGGAAUUAGGAAAUGAAAGUUCAAGGGUGCAUAUUGUUGAGCUAUUUCUCUGGCUAUAAUACCUGCUCAAAUUUAAAAGCAACAUUGUGUUGAUUUAAAACUACUCAAUAUGACAUACUGCAGCAUGACCAAAUGCCAAGGCUCCAAGUAUUUCAUUUUUUACUCUAGAAAUGCAGGUUAAGAGGAUUGUUGCUAAUACUUGAAGUGUCAAGUUGACUUCACGGAUGUUCUGCUCCUACUGUUAGGUUGAUUUUUUUUAGUAUACUUUUGAAAAAUCUGUGUAGAGAAAUGAUAAAAUUUAAGCAACUGUCUUGUGCAGAUUUUUCACAUAAUCCAUAAGCAGGGUUGGGACAGACUGGGUCAAAUUCAGGGGCAGAGUUAAGGCUGCCAGAGGUAUGAUAUGGGAGAUACCAUAUUAAAGUUUGUGCUGCCUUGUUUUGAAAGUUAUACUGAAAUGUUCUUUGUGGGUACAAAAUAGUGUGAAAUAUCUCUAACUUUGUUGAGUGACUCUUCUGGUGCAGGGGUUUAGUGUGCUUUGCUGGUACCCUGUUAGGAAGUUGGAUUAAGAUCUGCCAGCUGCACUUACAGGUUCUCAGCUGAGCUAUUUCAGCCUGUGAAUUCAGUUGGGGGGGGUGGGGGGGGGAUGGAUCUUUAGUCAGGUUUUCUGAUAAAUUAACGUGCUGAAAUAGCUCAGCAAAGGACUGGUUUACAGGAGAGAGUGUGAAAGCUAACAGCUUACAGGGAAGCUAACACGGCUUAAGCUCAUGAUUGUAUUCAUGACAGUUUGUUGCAAUCCAGUGCAGGAUUACCUGUGGUACGGUUCGUCCCCUCUUUUCCCUCUCAAAACAGCAGUCCGUAACUACCUCUUUGUGCUCAUCUGAGGAAGCUAAUCACUCAGAAACCUGUUCUAUUUUAGUUUUGGGCAGGUUGAUGGUUGUCAGCUUUUUUUGGUCCUCCUAGAUGCUGACCAGAGCUGAGGAACUUCAGAAAGGGAUAUGCAAAACUGCUGCAAUAUUGAAUUAGACAAUUUUAAAGCAUAGAAGCCUUAGGCUUUAUUUUAUAUGAAGGACUAAUAAUGUUAUUGUGUUUUAUCUAUAAAGAUGCUGUUAGAGAAAGUGUAAUGGAUUAGAUGGAUUUCUGGUCUUACUUGGUGUGGCUGUUUGUAUGCACAGUGAGCAGCGUGAGAGGUGUGAUUUGCCUUAUUUAACUCAGUGGGUUUCAUUAUCCUUUCAUAUGGGGAUGCUUCUGAGACUGACAAAAUGCAGGCCCAGAAUAAAUCCAGCAUACAAUGCCCAUUCAGUCAGUACGGCUGGUUUCAUAUUAAACAGAAAUCUUGUGGUGGCCUCUGUUGCCAGACUUCUGUUGCAGUAGCUGAUUCCCUCCCAUAUGGGCUCCCCUCAUACAGUGACUGUGUUCUGGAAGUUGUGCUAUUUCCUUUACCAAAAUGUGAAUCUUUAUCCAGUCAUUCAAAGGUUAUCGAAUUUCAGAAUGCCACAGUGCCAAAAAGAGUUGUGUGAUGGCCCCAGACAUCAAGGAGAGGUUUGAGACGACCGUUGUGUCUAACAUGUUGCAUAGUGUAGGCUUUGGAUUCAAGAGGCAGUGCCUUCCUCUGAGUCAUUGUGCAAGCACAUUGUUCAGGACUGAAAUCUGUAAAAGGAGAAGGCAGCACCCUGCAAAAAAUUUUCCCUACUAUAAUAUUGUGUAGAAGUUUUCACAUCAAAAGCAUCAAAAUGUACAACUGGUCCUUGAAACCAUCUGUUGCCAGCUUGUAAACACCGAACUCUGUAUAUGCCUAGGCCUCAUGUAGAGCAUCAUUGUACAUAUUUGCCAAUGGCAAGACUUGCGGUACUUGGAUUUUUCUCUGAACGGGUAGGUCAUGUUGUGUGUGUCUGUAUUUCCUUGCCUACCAGAAGCAAAGGGCAAAGUGAAUCCAGUUUGUAGAUUUGAUUCCAAAUAUUUUUACUUUACUGCUUAGCAAGGCAGAGUCCUGGGCUCUUCAUGCUAUUUAAAAGAGUUGAUUUGUGCUAAUUUACAGGUGAUCGAUGCUGUAGUCAGAGCUCAAAGUUUGCAUGCACAGGAAAUCAGCAGUACCUAAAACAUCUGUAUUUCUUUUUGGCCCAGUGGACUGUAACAUUAAGAACGUUUUCUGAUUUAUAUAUAUGAAUCAAAACCACCAGUUUUAGGUUGAACAAAAUGUGUUGUUUGUCUUCAAAUGCUAUGUUUUUAAUUGUGUUUACAAAUACAGGAAAUCUGGAAGCAAAGGACUAUAUUCACAAGAGGUUUUAGACACUACCCACAGAAAGGGUCAAUUCACAUCAAGUAACGUAGUAGAUGAGGAAUCCUGGACUUCGAGAGACCCAAGUCCCAGUACCCUCUUUGUCUCAUUUGGAGGAGGAACUUGGGAGUUCUGUGUCCUGAGGACUAGUUUAUAGCAGCUUGAACCAUUUCACUUGAUGUAAAAAUAUUCACUGAGCUAGAGAAAAUUACUGGAUAUUGAAGAUUUUAGGGUACACCUUGGUUCUUCAUCCAGUAUUUAUUCUAGCUGAGCAUAACUACAUUAACCGGGAAGAAUGAGGCAGACCUGUUCCAGAGUGUUCUGUGGUAGGGCAUCUGCUCAGGCAGUGACUCCAAAUGUGCACUGCUCAUGACCAUUUAUUAUGCUCAUGACCCAAACUAUCACAAGGCAUCCCUUAUGUACAGUAAUAGGACAAUAUAGGAGCAUUCUGGAAUAUUUCUUAUCCCUAAUCAAGGUAAAGCCAUUUUUCCAUUCUGUAAAAAUAAAGUUUAUUUCCUUUAAAUUAGUGUCUAAAUAUCUUUACAGAACUAUGAAAAAGUUCCUUUAGUUCUUUUGUUGUUAAUGCUACUUUUUUAAGAAAAAAGAGCCAAAAAUAUUUCCAGGGUUGUUAUCAAGAAUAGAGUCUCAUUUAUCCAUUUAUUUACUGUGAAACUCCCCAGGAAACUGCUGAAUAAGUAAGGCUUGACAUAUAGGAGAUGGAAGAAAUGAGCCUUCAUUCAUGUAGUUCAUUUUUGCUCUGACAGGUGUGCAAAUUAGCCAAACAGGAAAGUGUGGGGUUCCCUGUACUCUCCGCUGGGAUUUAAGAAAUCUUCCUUACCAAUUCUCUUUCAGACUCAUUAUUUCAGAUUAUAGAAGAUGAGGCUCAAUAGUCUUGAAGUUAAAAUGCUGCCAACAGCAAAACCUUGUCCCUUGCAUGCUCUGAUCAUUUAUUUAUUUAUUUAUUAUUUUUUAAUUUUUUUUUUUUUUUUUUUCCACUGUAACAGGAAUGCAGGCAGUCUGUACCCACCCUUUUUUGUAGGCUGGUUUAGAGGAGAGAGAGGAGAUGUUCAGUUCAAAGGGGAUGGGAGAUGAAAUACAUGCACUGAAAGACAGCUUUUUAUUUUUUGGUGUUUUAGUGUCUUGUGUUUAGUUGGCUACUUCUUCUCACCUUCACUCUUAACUCUCCCUUCAGCCAUCUCUUUGCUUGUGCAACUGGUUACUCUGCCUUCAGCCAUCUCUAAUUACCCAUUGCUUUGCUUGUGCAACUGAACUGUUUAUUUGUCAGCUUACGUUUGGUCCGUGCCAAAUCAGCUUGCUAUAGAAUGACCUGUGAAGGUAGGACACGCUUACAAGUAUAUAUAUUGGUAACAGGUAUUAUCCUAGCCUCAUAUUUGGACAGCACUGGACUGUAGUCAAAAUACCAGAUGCUGUUUCCAAAUGGAUGGUAUUUCCUGGAUGAGAGGUCUUUGCAAGGAACACUGGAAGAACAGAGCAGAGAAUUUUCCCUCUCGUUGAUGCUGCAGGAGCCAGAGCAGUGCUGUGCCCCACAGCAGUGAGGGGAAGAACAGACUACAUGCAGAGAGGCCACAUUUCACUCCUGGCAGUGGGAAUUUGACCCUGCUGCUCCCUAGUGACUCCCUAAGCCCUGGGCUGGCAGUCCUCUGCCCACCACAUUUUGUACAAGGCACGAAGUCCCACCAACAGGGACUGGUGAGUGUCACCUGCCCGCGCUGCUCUCCUCUCUGGGAAGAUAUCCCCAGCAAACCAAGGCUGCCAAACACCCCUGGGACUCCAGUCUCCAUGCCAGAUAUUUGUUACAUAGCAGUACACGACACUGCAGGGAGAUGAUGUACCUUUGUCUAUGCCGGCAGUGACAUCAAAGCAAUCAUUUAAUUUCUGGUGUACUGAGAAAGCCAUUGG